rnacentral:rRNA from 1 species
ACGCUCGACACCUACGGGAGGUAGCAGUCGGGAAUAUUGCGCAAUGGAGGAAACUCUGACGCAGUGACGCCGCGUAUAGGAAGAAGGUUUUCGGAUUGUAAACUAUUGUCGUUAGGGAAGAAAAAAGACAGUACCUAAGGAGGAAGCUCCGGCUAACUACGUGCCAGUAGCCGCGGUAAUCUGAGCGGGCUGGCAAGGC